rnacentral:lncRNA from 1 species
GGAAAGUCCGAAGGUGUUAAAAUGAGUAAAAGUGAGUUGUGGAAGGUUUUCGAGAGCUAAAGAAUCAAAUUCUGCAAAACUACAGAUUUUCAGCUCUCGGGGACCGGUCCNGUAAAGAAAAGAAUGUAAAAUGUAUUUUGAGGUAAAUGGGAUGUAAGAAAGUAAUGAUGAAAUGAAAUGUAAAGAAUUCGAAAAUGAACAAGAUGAAUACAAUGUAUAUGAUCAAAAAUGAAUCAUAGUACAAGUGAAUGUUUAGU